rnacentral:ncRNA from 2 species
UCGACGAAACAGGGGUGCUUCGCAUACGGCCGGCAGAUGGUCCGGGCGGCGAGGCUGAGAGAGACCCUUCGCACCCGAUCCGGGUAAUACCGGCGCGGGAAGUUUCCGAUCCCGCCGG